rnacentral:lncRNA from 1 species
GAAUUUGGCCUUAUUCCUAUUAGCCCAUAGAAACGUAUUGAAUAACAUAUUCAUACAUGGCAAAACAGAUAGUCAAAACAUUUAUUGAAAUAAAGUAUAUUUGGGCCUCUCGAGAGGCGCAGAGGUCAAUGGCACUGCAUUGCAGGGCUAGAGGCAUCACUACAGACCCAGGUUCAAUCCCGGGCUGUAUCACAACUGGCUGUGAUCGAGGGUCCCAUAGGGUGGUGCACAAUUGGUCCAGCAUCAUCUGGGUUAGGGGAGGGUUUGGCCGGGGGGGCUUUACUUGGCUCAUCGCGCUCUAAGGACUCCUUGUGGCGGGCCGGGCGCCUGCAGGCUGACCAUGGUCAUCAGGUGAACAGUGUUUCCUGACACAUUGGUGCGGCUGGCGAGCGGGUGUUAAGAAGCGCGGUUUGGCAGGUCGGAGGACGCGUGAUUCGACCUUCACCCCCCCCGAGCCCUUUGGGGAGUUCCAGCGAUGAGACAAGAUUUACAUUUGGGAGAAAAAAGGGGGUAAAAUACAAAAAAAUUAAGUCUAUUUUGCAGUGUCUGUCCUAUAGCUCAGGGUUAUUAUGAUCUGUUUCUAUCCAUUUUUAACCACUUUUUUGGCACUAAAGUACUUCCAUGCUUCCAUAAUUUUUUUUAAACUGGUACUGGGUUACCUUUAGGCAAGUUUUGUGAGGCUUGUGGGCAUCGUAGAGCCCAAACCGUUCAGACACUACAGAUGUUUUCAUGAUGUCUCCUGGUCUGACAAACAUCGCUGUACCUCUGCCACCUUCCACCGCAGAUGGGGAAGGCCGACAUGAACAGAUAUAUCUAGUUUAAAUAGACAGAUUUUGAUUGGGAUUUUUGUUAUUAUGCUAAUUACAUUUCUGCGUGGGCGGUUAAAAACAGGCUUUAAAACAUUGAUAAGAGGGAGGUUGAAGUGUCUGUGUGUGUGCCUGUGUCACCGACUAGCUAUCCCUAGUGAUUAAUCCCAUCAGUGGCCUCCUACCUUUCAGCCCCAUGGUGCAGCAGGUUAGGGUAUGGCUCACCGUGGGAUCAGAUGGAUCAGUGGGUUAAACGCUCAUCUCAGAUUUCUGCUUGGUGCUGGAACAUCAAUAUUGAUGUCCCACAGUGGCACACCUGUCCAUGUCACAGCGCCCCACCUGUCCAUGUCACAGCGCCCCACCGGUCCAUGUCACAGCAUCACACCUGUCCAUGUGGAUGCCUCAAAGGGACAGCCCUGUAGCAUGGUCAGUUUUCACUGCUGUCACAGCCUGACUGCACCCUGCACCUGAUCUGCCAGCCACAGGGUCCAGACCUAACCAGUUACCACAGACCUCCACUAGGCUCUAUGGCCUUUAUAACGGUGAAGGUUUAUCCCUGCCUUUUUAGUUGACAUUGUCCUAAAUCUGAGGAGACAAAACUUCAGAGCAGGGAUUCACUUUUGACAGGUUAAGAUAACUGAGAUAUUACUUUUUUUUUGAGCUACAUGUCCCUACAAAGUAAGAAUAGAGGUUAUCAAUAUUUUUCAGAGUACUUCAAUUGAAAAUUCUCACAAUUAUUGCCAGAUAGAACUAUAUGUUAGAGGUGGUGUGACGAGGUGUAUAGUUUGAGGAGGGUCUGUGUGUUCAAGUUUUGUAACAGAGUCUUUUUUAUUUAAUUGUAUUUAAUUCAAGUCCAUGCUCCCCAAAUGGCACCACACAGCUAAGGAACAGGGACCAGACUUCAGUAUGUCUGAUGAGUAAGCUGCAGCUACAGCAGGCUGUGGUGUUAGUGGGUCAGGUGGUCAGCCUGAGGUGGUCUUAGUGGGUCAGGUGAUCAGCCUGAGGUGGUGUUAGUGGGUCAGGUGAUCAGCCUGAGGUGGUGUUAGUGGGUCAGGUGAUCAGCCUGAGGUGGUGUUAGUGGGUCAGGUGGUCAGCCUAAGGUGGUGUUAGUGGGUCAGGUGGUCAGCCUGAGGUGGUGUUAGUGGGUCAGGUGAUCAGCCUGAGGUGGUGUUAGUGGGUCAGGUGAUCAGCCUGAGGUGGUGUUAGUGGGUCAGGUGGUCAGCCUGAGGUGGUGUUAGUGGGUCAGGUGGUCAGCCUGAGGUGGUGUUAGUUGGUCAGGUGAUCAGCCUGAGGUGGUGUUAGUGGGUCAGGUGAUCAGCUACCUAUCAUUCUUUAUUCAUUAGUCUGGUUCUACCCCAGAACACAGUGUGUCUGAGGUCCCACUUGAGUCCCCCUGCACAUUUGAAGGAUUCCCUUAUCCUACCCUUACCUUUCGGCACACCUCCUCAUAUUAAAUCCUCUGGUGUGGCCUGGGUGGUCUAGGGGUCAGUGCCACCACAUAUAGCAAACAAAGACCAGCAUCAACAUGGGUUCAAAUCCCCCACUUCCUAUGUGACGCACUGUCUCCUCCAUUAAACUCAUACUUUCUAUGACGCACUGUCUCCUCCAUUAAACUCAUACUAUCUAUGUGAUGCGCUGUCUCCUCCAUUAAACUCAUACUUUCUAUGAUGCACUGUCUCCUCCAUUAAACUCAUACUGUCUAUGUGACGCGCUGUCUCCUCCAUUAAAAAAUCAUAUUGUCUAUGUGACGUGCAGUCUCCUCCAUUAAACUCACACUGUCUAUGUGACGCGCUGUCUCCUCCAUUAAACUCAUACUUUCUAUGACGCACUGUCUCCUCCAUUAAAAAAUUCAUACUUCCUAUGUGACGCACUGUCUCCUCCAUUAAACUCAUACUGUCUAUGUGACGCACUGUCUCCUCCAUUAAACCCAUACUGUCUAUGUGACGCACUGUCUCCUCCAUUAAACCCAUACUGUCUAUGUGACGCACUGUCUCCUCCAUUAAAAAAUCAUAUUGUCUAUGUGACUUGCGGUCUCCUCCAUUAAACUCACACUGUCUAUGUGACGCGCUGUCUCCUCCAUUAAACUCAUACUUUCUAUGACGCACUGUCUCCUCCAUUAAACUCAUACUGUCUAUGUGACGUGCGGUCUCCUCCAUUAAAAAACUCAUACUUUCUAAUAACCCCUUUUACUGGUCAGGACGUGACAACUGUCUAUGUGACGUGCGGUCUCCUCCAUUAAAAAAUUGCAUUGUCCCCACAAUAAGUUGGAGAAGUUGAAAUAAAACCAUUUAUUUCAGUGAGGCAAAGGACCACCUGUCAUAGUGGAUUUAUAGUGACUGUAAACAGGCUAAGUUGUAUCAACAGUGUAAUGUAAACUACAGGGUUUUACUGAGUCUAAGGCUCUCAGGACACGGGCUGUUUCAGAAAUGGCAGCCUAUUCCCUAUGUUGUGCACGUAUUUUGACCUGGGCCCUGGUCAACAGUAAUGCACUACAUUGGGAACAGGGUACCAUUUCAGACUCAACCCUGGUUGCUCUGGUUGUUCUCACACACACACACACACACACACACACACACACACACACACACACACACACACACACACACACACACACACACACACACACACACACACUUAAAGUAGCAACCACGUAGUAGACCUUGUCUGGUACCUGCUAGUGGUGAAGGAGAACAGGCUACAGAGGUAGACAGGGAGUUUACCCAGAAGGGCAGAAGGAAGUACCAACAGAAGGAGGUGCCAACAGAAGGAAUUACCAACAGAAGGAAGUACCAACAGAAGGAAGU